GAUCAGUAUUUUCACCGUUGGAUGAUAUUGAAUGUAACGCUUGAGAUUCAUUGUUCCUAUUAUUUUCUGAGAUCUGAAAGAUAUCGUGUUUGAGAAGAGGGAGAGAGAAGCGAUAAGGAAACGACGCAUAUCAUCUUCUAUCGAUGAUCUGGCCGACUCCUUUUGGCCAGCCCCUGCUCUGGUUCCGAUUCAAACUAUGGUGACAAGGCGGAGCAGUGUCGGUGGCGGCGGCAACGAAUCCCGAUUCAAACUAUGGUGGAUGACGCAGUGAAUCCCGAUUCAAACUCUGGUUCCUUUUUCAUACCAUCAGACUCCAUUCCCGAAGCUCCUUCACUCUUCUCUCUUUCUCUCGGAGAGAGUAAACCUGCCGAGUUUCUCGCCGACGUCUUGGUGGUCACUGAGUGAGUAUGACCAGUCUUGCCCUGUUAUGGAAUUAUUGACAAGUUCUUGGGAGUUUCUACUCAGCCGGGUUGGUCAUAAUUUAAUGGUUUAUCUACUACAGCACACAUCGAUAUUCUUACCGUUUCUAGGAAAGCAACACCAGCAAGUGUGGACCUCCUCUAUGUAUCGUGCUAAACGGUAAGUCCCGAGCCGAGCUUCUUCAGACCUUGUCUGAUGCUAAUGCUGAACUUUCAGAAAGAGAGGUACACAAACUUUAGCUGUGACAUCUCAGAUGAUGUAUGAGAACAAAGGCUUAAGUGGGAGAUGGCAGAGAAAGCUAGCAGUGGUGGUGUAGGCCUAAUGGAAGAAAGUAUGCUGCUCUCUCUAGUGCUUUGGGUACUUUACCUUGGGAAAAACCUCAAUCUUCUGAAUUUGAGCAAUUGGCUAGGGAAAGUGAAUGUGCGGCAUGGACACUUGCCAAUGGCUAUGCACUUAACCACAUCACUAUCUCUGUCCAUCGGCUUAAAUCUCAUCCAAACAAGAAGAAGAAGAAGAGAAGAAAGAGACAGGAAGAAGGAGACGACGGAACUGCGAUGGGAGGGAGAUCGCAGCUUAGAGCUUUAAGUUUUGGUUUAUUAGGCUUGGUUCAAUUUUUUUUGGUUUAUUUAGGUUUGGUUAAUUAGGUUUUGGUUAAUGUAUAAACUGAUUUAAUUUGUAAACAAAAUUUAAUUAAUAAAAUAAAAUAAAAUUUUUUAUUA